UCUUUUCUUGUCAUGGGGUUGAGACCUGCUCAAUGAACAUAUAAUGAGAGCAAGCCUGCUAACACCAUACCAACACAAUCUCACCACCUGACUUCUUGACAACGGUGCAAUUUUUAGAAAC